UACGAAGGGGGCUAGCGUUGCUCGGAAUCACUGGGCGUAAAGGGUGCGUAGGCGGGUUUUUAAGUCAGAGGUGAAAUCCUGGAGCUCAACUCCAGAACUGCCUUUGAUACUGAAAGUCUUGAGUAUGGGAGAGGUGAGUGGAACUGCGAGUGUAGAGGUGAAAUUCGUAGAUAUUCGCAAGAACACCAGUGGCGAAGGCGGCUCACUGGCCCAUUACUGACGCUGAGGCACGAAAGCGUGGGGAUCAAACAGG
rnacentral:rRNA from 1 species